UUCCUCCCAGCUGGCACUGGGCCCUGCUCUGGGAAAGAACACAGCCUCCAGCAAAGUGACCCCUGCAGAGUCUUGAUCCUGAACCAGAGAGGUGUGUGCUGCUGAGUGAGGGCCCUCAGCCUGGCAGGACCUUGGUAGCACUGGAGAUGUCUGCAGGAUCAGAGGAAAUUAGCAGUCACUUCCGUUCCUCAGGCUGCAGUUCCAGCGCUCAUGCCGGAACUGAAACUGGCACUCGAGAAGGCUGAGGUGUGCAGCGUCCUGCAGGGUCUCAGCCAGGCCUGGCUCCCUCCGACAGAGCUGCUUUUGCCGGCGGGACAGCUUCAGGAGGUCACACUGCUUCAGUUCCCAGACAGAUCUUUAACCAUCUGGCCGCUCCAUGCCUGUUACAAAGUGAUGCUUGGGGAAUACCUGAACGGAUGGAAGCGGGGAAGGGUAGAGAGAUGGGAGGAAGGAAGGAAGGAAGGAUGAGUGGAUGGACUGACAGGUAGAUGAAGGUGAAGGAGCUAAAUUUCCAUCAGGCCAUCAGCUCCAGACUUCUUGCUCUACUACAUCUGAAGUCCACGGAUUCUGGAGUCAGGCUGCCACGUUCUAAGCCCAGCUGCUGCCUCCUAGCUGUGUAACCUAGAAGCUUUGAUUUUCUCCUCUGGAAAGUGGAGAGUGAUCUUGUCUACUUCUUGGGGCUGCUGGGAGGAUUAUAUGAAAAGUUACUAACCACUGUGCCCUGGGACAUGCUAUUUCUCUUUCCUGCUAGCUGGAGUUUCUCAAAAUUCUUUCCUUUUGCAAGAUGCUUUACUCUCUAACCUGGGCAGAGUCUUCCCUUUGUCUAGACAAGGAAACAAAGGUUUUAUGAAGAGGCAGCGACUAUCCCGAGUGUUACAGCAGAUCAGCAGCAAGGUAGGGGCUACAGUUAGAGCUCAACAUCCCUCCCUCCAGAAGCAAUCUGUGAGAUGUUUCUCUCAGUUCAAAAUAUCUGCCAUUCAGUACCCUAGUAGCCCUCAGCAUGGGUAGAAUAUACAAUAUACUAGCACCCAAGCUGGAGGAAGCAGUCCCUUUCUGGAAUAUGCUGGCCUCAAGACCAUGGUAAAAGAGCAAAGGUGGAACCAGGCAAUGGCUCUUGAAGCUCCUGCUUGGAUGGGACACUUGUCACUCAGGCUUGUGUACCACCAGCCAAGGCAAGCCCUGUGGCCAAAUGCUGAGUGGUCAGAGAGGCCCUCAUCCCCCAGGGCUAAGGGCAUGGCUCUCUUGUUUGGAGCCACCUGCUCCAGCCCGGACAUCUGGCUGGAUGCCACACCCUCCCUGUCUGCCCCGGGAGGGUGUGGGUUCUGGCCAGGCCCCAGGUGCCCCAAGUAAGUGCCCGUAGAUUCCACAUCCAUCAGGUGCAGCCAGCCUGCUGUGGAGCAUAGCUCUGAAACCCCCGAGCAGAGACAGAUGCUAUCAGACUCCUCCCGGCCCAGCUUGGCCCUGGGCUCCCCUCCCAGACAGGGUGAGGGCAGGGACCAGUUAAUCAUUAAUCUGGGGGAAAAUGGGUAAAUUUCCAGUCCACCAGGUCUACACCCAAACCCCUCCCUGCAGUCUGACAGGAAACCCUUACAGCUUGACCCUUGGCAGGUCCAGAGCAGAACCCGAUGUCAGCUCCAGCCCAGGAGGCCCCUCCCUGAUGGGCCUCCAGGGUGGAGAGCAGCUCGGGGGCUGCAGGAACAAAGGGUACAUCAGCCGUCCAGCCCCUCAAAUGUCUCCCUCCCCACAGCAGGGGCUGGUGUGAGGGACAACUUCUGUUCACAUAGUUCCUGUGUUUCAGAAAUUGGGACCUUCUGUGUAGCAGCUGAUUGACAGAUGAGAGAACAAGCAGAGAGUGAUGGGAAUUUUGGCCAACAGGGCUGUACGUCCUUCAAAGCCUGUCUUAAAUUUCAUUUUAAGAACAAGAGCUGUUAUAUUAUGAUAGCUGUGUUAUAUAAUGCUAUCUACCACAUUUUUGAGUGCUUAUUACUAAGCCCUUUAAAUUACUCUUGCAGACACCUGUUGGGUUGACUGCCUACCUGCUCCUUCUGUCCAUAUGGUUACCCUGUUGGCCAUUUUUAUACCACAUGAUCUUGCUGCUCUAGCCUGUUGAUUGGACCAAUGAGGAUCACAUGACCCAAGCUGGGCCAAUCAGUUCCUUCUCUGAGAAUUUGGAAAUUGACUAAAGAGAGCAUACAGCAGUUACUUUCUCUCUCUUUCUUUAGGUGACUGGACUUGUAACUCAGGAGAUAAAAAGAGAAAGCUGGUCCAAAGAGACAGAAAAAGAAUAAACCAAACACAGAGAGAAACAGAGGUGAGAAUGGGAGGGAGAACUGGGGCAGCUUUUCAGCCCCUGGCUUCAGAGUCUUCCUGCAGUCAGCUAUGUUCUUGCUUGAGACACUCUGAUGUGUAGUACAGUGUCAGGGCUGGGAGUCAGUUUGUCUAAGGGUGCCGUCCCUGAUCACCACUUUCUGACAGCUGUGGAGUACAGUACAUACCCUAAGCUGCACCUGUGAGCCAGGCUCAGCAAACACCUUUUCCCCCCCAUCAACAGGCACCUGUUUUUUUAAUUUUGUGUAAUAGACCCUGUGAUUGAUGGCCCCAGGAGUCCAGUAUAAAGUCGGUUAAUUUUAUUAGCAGUAAUGACACUUAGUAGCGAUUAAUGGUCAGGAAAGGCAGCCAACCGCACAGAAGCCUCAGGCUGCCCUGGGCCCUGGUCUGCCUAGGGAUGCUCUUGAAAAAGGCCCCCUCGCACUGCCUCAGGGACCCCCACAGGGCCUAGGAAGACAACUGAGAGAACUUCCAGGACCCAGUUUCUCUUUUAUUUGUUUUCUGUUGUGCUUUGGGAUCAUUUUUCCUUUGAAGAAAUAGUGCCAUGACAUCAAAUUUAGAAAACAUCUCAAUUGAUUUCCUUAAAUGAAUGCUAGUGAAUGCCCUACAGAUGCCAUGGCGUCUGCUAGAGAUGGUUUCUUCUUGGAUUUUAGAAUUCUAGAUGCUCCAGAUUCCAAUCUGUUCCAGGGUCAGUGGGCAUGAUCACCUCCCCUUGAAGAAACUAUACUCUCUGGCACCCAGAGCCUGAGAACCUCACCCACCAGGCCCCUCUGCAAUACUCUCAGUUACCCAUGUGUUAGCUCAGCUCCUUGAGGGUAAGAUAUACAACCAGAGAAGACUGAGUGAGCUUCAUGAGUCUAAUGAAUCCAGACAAAAUCUGGGGUUUUAAUGAAGACACUGCUCCAUAGUCAGGUGAGAUGCUAUCAGCCAAGCAAGUGACCAGUGUUCUGAACUAAAGACCAGAGGACGGAUAAUCUGCGAACUUGCUAAUGCCCUUCCGGACUGGGGGACAAGAUCACCCUCAGGCCUCUGCCUGACUUGAGUGCCCCUGGGCCGCCUGGGGCGACCCCCCACCAUAAGUUGCACCUGCUAUGACCCAGCUGGUUUCCCCCAUUCCUGCUUCCUGUUGGGCUCUCCCAGGCUGACUUCCAGCCUCUCUUUUCCCAUCAGGAAAGCAACAACCCCAUGUGACCAGCUCCACUUUCCUCUCUUCUUUGCCUCCAGCCUAUGCCCCUCUACUCUAUGCACCCUCAGCCCAUAGCCCUUGGUGUUCAGGUUGAUAAGAAGACUGGAAGCCCCCAUGCCACACAAUGAGAUGCCUUUGGCUUUGACCCCAGAGCCUCCCCAGUCACUUCCCAAGCCACCUUGUCUCCCUCCAAAGUGGGAAAAGUCCAGGUGCUCUUAGGACUUCAUCUCACAUUCCGCCCCCUAGACCUGCUCUGUCCACACCUGGCCCUUCCGGCCCCUGCCUCCUUUCACACUGUCCAAGGCCCACUCAAUCUACAAUUUUGGCUUAAACUGCCCCAUCUAGGAUGACAUUGAAGGAAACAAAAGUAAGUUCUCCCAGGCUUUGGCGAAGCUCCCCAGCAGACUGCUUUGGUCUGUCGUCAACAGGAUCUCAGGGACCACCAAACCCCUCAAAAGAACUAGAGCCCACCCUGGAAUGAUCACCCACCACCUGCUGGAGUGUGGGAAUCCAAGGACUUCGGGCCCCCAGGGCUGUUGUUGCCUGGGGUAGUCUGGUCCCAGGUUUGCCCUCACCCAUUGGUGAACCCAGAGAUGUCCGCUCACCCCUAAGCUCGUUCUAUCUAACAAAUACACAUUGACUAGUGGGAGAUCAUGACCAGAGCCAGACUGCCUCAGUUCAAAUCCCACCUUUACCUGUUACUAGCUGUGCUACCUUGGGCAAGGCAUGUCACCUCUCUGUGUCUCAUCUGUGAAAUGCAGAUAAUCAUAAUACAUACUGACAUGGUUAUUGUGAGGAUUAAAUGAAUGAUCCUUUGUAAAGCUCUUAGAACGGUGCCUGGCAUGCAGUAAGCUCCAGGGAAGUGUCGUUCUUAAGCAUCUACUCUGUAUCAGGGGCUGUGCUGGAGGGAACUUGGCUGGAUUCAGGAGCACUCCAAACUCUCCCCAGGCCCCAAGGGCUAGGGGAAGGAGAAGGCUUUGAACCAGAGGAACAAUCAGUAGCUGCUCAGGGACCCAAAUCAGGAUUCCUUGGCUAGUCCUGUUCUGCCUGUAGUGGGGGGCCUGGGGUGGGGAGGGGCAGGAGGGAGGUCUAGGGGGCAGGCCCAGCUCCCUGGGGAAAGCCUGGCAGGUGCAGAGCACUUCCCAUCACCAGGGGUGCCCUGGCUCUGCUCUUCCACCCCUACCCCCAUCCUUGUUUCUGCUCCAGAGGGUCUGAUGGUUCCAGAGGAGGCCGCCCCCAUGAUGUGGUGGGUGAGCAGGUGGGCGGUGCAGGACAAGACUGGCAAUUCCCUGGGCACCAGGUCAUGCCAGCCUGUCUGGACCCUGAGCUGGAGGGUCCAGGGGCUGUGCCUGGCACCACGGUCCGUGCCAACUGCAGGUAGUUACCUGGGAACCAGGAAAGCCUUGCCCUGCCUGGAGCAUUGGCCUUGGCCCCACAAAACCCUGUUAGAUGAUCCUGAUAACAGGCUUCCGCUGCAGGGCCAUUUGUAUGGUAAGUGCUUCUUUUGUGCUUUCAUCUCAAAUAUCUCAGUCCACCUUUCCCUCCCUCACUAAAUCCCCCAACACACACACACACACGCACACACGCACUCACACUCACUCACACUCCCCCACCUGUUGCCCUUUCCACUCCCCAUGUCUUCCCAGCAGGAGAGAGCUAGCAAGGGCAGUGUCUGGCCCAGGAAGAGAGGGCACAUUGCUCCAGGCAGUCCCUCUUCAGGGAGGGGGGCCCCUCGGCACCCACCUCUGGCUCCCUUCCCCUCCUCCUGUCAUCUGAGGGGCCCCAAGGUUUACAUGCUGAGAAGCACACCCCUCCCUCCAUCUCUCAGACUCCUUUCUCCUCGAGAAGACUCACUGUCCCCUCAUACCUCCUCCAAGAAGAUGUCCUUAGUGAGCAUCCUCAACAGUUACCAUUUUCCACCUUUACUCUAACUCCCCUUAACCACUCCUUUCACUCUCUCACUCAUUUAUUUAAAUAGCAAUAUAAAGGAUUUGACUGAGUUUCAGGUUGAGGCCAAAGAAGACCACUCACUAAUUCCCUGUCUGGGUCCCCCUCAGCCCCUCCUGGGUCCAGCCGUCUUUUCCUCCAACUCUUAGCCUCAGAACCCACCUCAAGGACUGAAUCAUCACACCUCCCCCUACCCCAGAGCCCACCACAGAGCCUCGUCCCCCACCCCACUCCUGGUGCAGAGAGAAAAGAGCCUGGUCCAGCUGUGGGCUUUGUCUCUCCCAGAACAGCUCCACUUCCUGUUUCACAGCCACCAACCGGGCUGCCUGCUGAGGAUGGCAUCGUGGAGACGUGUGCUCACAAGCUAAGUGGGCAGCCAGCAGCCUGUCCAACAAGCGUGCUUUGCAUCUCAACAAUCUUGGGUAUUUAGAGCAUGGCUUAGUGCAACAUCUGUGGAGGAAAUGCUUCCCCCUUCCUCCCUCCUGCCUCCCUCCCACUCCACUCUGGCUCAGGCUGAAGCUGACUAGAGGAAGCCUUUGUCCCUGGCAUGCAUGCAUCAGGUGGCACGGUGGUCACAGAGGGUACCCAAAGUCACUCCUGUAUGGAGGAAUCCCUCCCUUUCAUGAGUGUGAGAUUAUAAACAUCUCCCCCAGUUCCCUGGCUGGGUCCAAAUGUACACCAUUUGAAUCACUAUAUUCUACAGCUGGGGAAAUCCAAGAUCACCCAGCCCAGAGAUUUUGCCUUGAUGGCACCUGGGAAGGUAUCCCAGAGGCUUCUAGGGGCAGGCAGGAGGGCAAGAGGUUUGCCAGGUAUGCAGGUCUCUGUUUUGACUUGUCUGGUGCCCUGGAAGUUCACGUAAGAUUUUUUGGUCCAAGAUGACCCAAUGAGUUAGUGGCAGGGCUAGGACUGUGCCCAGGUCUCCUGACUGCUUCUGUCAAGACUGGUGGUCUCCGCUUUCAGUUUUAAUGUAACACUUCAGGGAAGCAAAAUCAGCCAUCACUAUAGCAAACAUCUAGGGUGACAGAAACACAAGACAAGUAGGACUGAAGGGAAGGAAGCCUGGUCAGGACUCCUCUGGCCUCCUGGGCAGUCAAAGGGAGAGAAGGGCUCUGGUCUAAAACUCUGUUUCUUUUUAGUCAAGAGUCAGAAAUAAAGCGUAGAGAAGUGGCCUGUCAAUUCAUACCCAAGUGUGAGAGUCUGAUAUAAUUAUGCCAGUGCCUAAGGACAUAACUUUGCUAGACAGAAGGAAGCUCAAAGGAGAGGUCUGGGAUAAUGAAGAGAAGAGAGAAAAGGGAAGCCUCAGGGGAGGAAUGGAAGGGAAAGAGAAGAGGGGAGCUGGAAGCCUUAAGACAAGCUUCCCCAGCUUCUUGGGUUCACAAACCCAGCCCUGACCCAGGGGACGAAUAGUUUAGGGGGCCCAGGGUGGGGACUGCAGGGAAAGGCGAGUCAUCACCAAAGGUAUAUCUUCUUGGGGCAAGCAACACCCUCACCCUGCUCUGCUCCAACCAUGGGAUCCCAGAUCAUGGGCUGCGUAACUUUGGCCCAUUUUUUUCAACCGUAGUAAGUUGACCAACUAACCAGCAUGGCAGGCUCUGGAAGAGCCAGGCCCCUGGGGAAUGCCUUGUGUAUGAUCAUCCUGUGAUGAGGACAAUUCUAUUGUUUGCACAUGCUCUAGGAGGAGACGUUCCAUGCUGCAGACUCCACUUGUCCUCCUGCAGAUCCUAGCGAUGGCCCACCC